AUCAACUUUCGAUGGUAGGAUAGAGGCCUACCAUGGUGGUAACGGGUAACGGGGUGUUAGGGCACGACACCGGAGAGGGAGCCUGAGAAACGGCUACCACAUCCAAGGAUGGCAGCAGGCGCGCAAAUUACCCAAUCCCGACACGGGGAGGUAGUGACAAUAAAUAACAAUACGGGGUUCUUUCGGAUCUCGUAAUUGGAAUGAGUACAAUUUAAAUCUCUUAACGAGGAACAAUUGGAGGGCAAGUCUGGUGCCAGCAGCCGCGGUAAUUCCAGCUCCAAUAGCGUAUAUUAAAGUUGUUGCAGUUAAAAAGCUCGUAGUUGAAUUUCGGGGUUAGUAGAUUGGUCAUGCCUCUGGUAUGCACUGGUCUCACUGAUUCCUCCUUCCUGAUGAGCCGUAAUUUCAUUAAUUUGGUGUUGCGGGGAAUUUGGACUGUUACUUUGAAAAAAUUAGAGUGUUUAAAGCAAGCUAACGCUUGAAUACAUUAGCAUGGAAUAAUGAAAUAGGACGUUCGAUCCUAUUUUGUUGGUUUCUAGGAUUGACGUAAUGAUUAAUAGGGAUAGUUGGGGGCAUUAGUAUUCAAUUGUCAGAGGUGAAAUUCUUGGAUUUAUUGAAGACUAACUACUGCGAAAGCAUUUGCCAAGGAUGUUUUCAUUAAUCAAGAACGAAAGUUAGGGGAUCGAAGACGAUCAGAUACCGUCGUAGUCUUAACCAUAAACUAUGCCGACUAGGGAUCGGAUGAUGUUAAUUUUUUAAUGACUCAUUCGGCGCCUUACGGGAAACCAAAGUGUUUGGGUUC
rnacentral:rRNA from 1 species